rnacentral:rRNA from 1 species
AUUGAACGCUGGCAGCAGGCCUAACACAUGCAAGUCGAGCGGAUGACGGGAGCUUGCUCCUUGAUUCAGCGGCGGACGGGUGAGUAAUGCCUAGGAAUCUGCCUGGUAGUGGGGGACAACGUUUCGAAAGGAACGCUAAUACCGCAUACGUCCUACGGGAGAAAGCAGGGGACCUUCGGGCCUUGCGCUAUCAGAUGAGCCUAGGUCGGAUUAGCUAGUAGGUGAGGUAAUGGCUCACCUAGGCGACGAUCCGUAACUGGUCUGAGAGGAUGAUCAGUCACACUGGAACUGAGACACGGUCCAGACUCCUACGGGAGGCAGCAGUGGGGAAUAUUGGACAAUGGGCGAAAGCCUGAUCCAGCCAUGCCGCGUGUGUGAAGAAGGUCUUCGGAUUGUAAAGCACUUUAAGUUGGGAGGAAGGGUUGUACGUUAAUACCGUGCAAUUUUGACGCUACCGACAGAAUAAGCACCGGCUAACUCUGUGCCAGCAGCCGCAGUAA